GAAAGUAAUGGGCCCUCAGCUUUCCCAUACAAGGCCCACUAGUUAGAAAUAAAUAAAUGUAAGCUGAACUGCUGUAGCCUGCAUUGAAAUGCCUAAACAAGUGGUCUGGGAUAAAGUUCAAGCAAAUUCAAGAAGUUGAAAAAAAUUAUUUGUAUUAAUAAGUCAGUGGAUGACUAAAUCUCCAGGUGGAAGAAAGAAGUCAAAUGUGUAGGCAGUCUGAGGAUGUCUUAGGAGAGGCAUUUUCAACAUUAUGUAUGAAUGCCUUUGUAAUCAGUACUGGUAGAAAAAAUAUGAAAAAAUGAAAUAAUGAAAAAAUGUGUACAGUUCUCAACCUUUUGUUUGGGGAAAAGAAGAGGUCUGGAAGAAAAUUACACAUUUUGUGGAAUUUAGAGAAACAAAAGUAAUUUUUUUUUUUUUGAAUGUUAUCCAGAAUAAGGAUAUUGUUCCAUAAGGAACAAAGAGAUAUACAACAUGAAUAAAAUGGGAACUUAGACUGGAAAUUAAAAUGCUUCUGACUUUCAAAGGAGUGAAUUUGUGAAAUAACCAAGGGGAGCACAAGAAUAAAUAUGAUGUGGUUUCCUGCACCUCUCUUAUAUAGAUUUGCUGAGCUUAACAAUAAAGUUAGAGUGAAAAGCAUGAGUGUAAACAAGGUGAGAUAAAGAAGAGUAUGGGUAUAUGAUUAUAUGAUCUGUAUUUUCUGUUAGGAGAAGGCAAGGUGAUUGUGAUGACGAACGAGAAGCCAUCAGCCUUAAAUGGCUCAAAGCACAGGGAAGGGAGACCAACAGCAAGGGGGAAAUGGAGCAAACAGGAUCAGUUUGGGGAUGGACAGCAGAGCAGGUCUGUGAGUGUCCAAGUGUCAGCUGUUGGAAAUGUCAAAAGAAUACUGUUACACCAUAACAAUUGGGGGGAAAAAAAACUGGGCAGUGUGGUGGAGGUGCUGCUGUGCAGGCCUGCUCAGGCAGCUGUUUUGUUAAGCAUAAUUUUCUUGUACAUGACUGAAUCAUAUUUUUCCAAGCUGAGGAAAAAAGAAUCUGAUAUGUUUUCUUGAGAAUUUAUCUGAUGACAGCGCGUUUACUGAACUUCUCACAAAAAUCAUCACAUAAAUAUUUGAUUCUGAUUGCGAUUUCAGCAAGUUUAUUUCCAAGAGCUUGAUUUAUAGAUAAAAUUCUGUGUACCAGUCUCCAAAUAAAACAAAGACUGAGAAUAUGAAAGAGACAAAGUUACUGGGUUUUAUUGUAACAUAUUUUCAGCUACUCCUUUUUAUUUUAAGGAUAUAAACUGCAGAAACUAAGUGAAGAUGGAGAAAAUCCUUUCACUUAUAAUAAUUUGCAUUUCAAUAUUAGCUUCUUUUGCCUUCCUCUCCCAGUCUCUGACAAAUUCCUUGCUGCAGUUCUCACAUGAAAAGUCCUGAAAAGCAAAGCAAACAUCUGAACACUGUUGAAUUAAAAGAUUGAAGUAAUACAACACUAUUCAGGUUAACAUAAAUGUAAAGAACCAGUUAUAAUCUGAUUUAAUUACAUGACUAGAGACUUUCUGUCAGUGGAGUAAAUUUCUGAUUUACAAAGAAGGCCUGGAUGCAUUGGAACAUUUAUACUUCUUUUUUUUUUCCCAUGGUCAUGGUUUUAGAGAAUGAACUUCUGACCAUAAGGAGGCAUACAAGGAAACGAACAGGUUCCACUGUCCAUCACUGCAGAGCGGAGCUAUUCUCUGCUUGUGAGUUGAGCUCAGAAUUCACUUGCUGCUAAGCCUGGUGAAAAUAAGUGGAAAUUCUAUUAAGUCUCUUGCUCUCCACUUCUUUUGGAUCAGAAUCUCAUUACUUUAAAGUACUGUUACUGAAACAGUUUGGCAUCAAAUGCCUGAAAUGUGUCCUUAUUUCUUGAAAUUAGUACUAAUUCUAGCGGUAGUUGAAAGUAAUUUUAGGAGUGUGAACUGGUGCACUGAGAUUAUAAAUUGGCACUGCAGAUGUUCUUUUCAAUUCAUGAAAGCCAGUGGAAGUUUUAUCUGGCUGAGGACUUAGUGCCCAGCGUGUCAGGGCCUCAUCCUGGCUUUGCUCAUAUGCACAUUUUGUGAAUUCUUUUUAUGAGUUGCCAUAGAGCAUGUAUGAAUACCUUUUUUCUUUCUUGAGGAUGGAAGAAACCUUUCAAACACGGUUAGCAGGCCAUACAUUUUCCAAGUACUUCAUGACGUCUAACUUUAAUAUCAAAAAAAAAUUAUGUGGUAAUUUGCAUGAAGUCAGAACUGAUGAACUUUAGAUUUCUUAGCCCUGCCAUAAAGGAAGCAGUCAGGUCCAGUCAACAUGAGAGAUGAGAAGCUUUUAUUUACUCUUCUGCUGAAUCCCAAAGGAAGAAUAAGGUCAGGGAGAGGACGUUAAACUGUACAAUAUUUGGGCAGUGAGCUCUGCACAACGUAAAUUGAAUAUACAAUUCAAGUACAAGCUUGGUAAAGGAAUCCUCACUGUGUAUAUGAAAUGUUUCCCUGAUGAAUAGUCAAUGGCUCUGGUUUGUGUUUAAAUUCCUCCCUCUGCACUCAUGCAUUUAGGAAACUAGGUUGGAAAAGAUUCAUUUCUGUCAUUACCAGGCUUACUGGAACAAACAGGAAUGCUUCCACUGUGAAGAAAUUCUUUAUGAAAGAGACACUGAAGCAGUGGUGUCAGGUGGGGAAGCCAUAUCUAGUGUUUGUCAUAGCUUCUGUAGAAAGGCUGGCUGAAAAAGUCAGGGAUGCUCUGAAGAAGCAUGAUAUUUUGGUUUUCCAAAGUGCACCACCUGUUUACCAUGGUAAAUUACACUUAAAUAUAGGAAGUGUGCAAAUGGCAGUACCUCAUCACUUAAGCCUAGGCCUUCACCCACAAACAGCUGGUACAUUUGACCUGGAAACAUUUAUAAUGGUUAUUCCUGCCUUGACUAGCCGUGCUUUCUAACUGAGAAAACAAGAGCACAGCGUGGCCUUGACUGUGGUCUAACUGCACCACCCUGCGUGGCAUGUCUGGCCCAUGCUACCAACCUAUUUUUAAAAAGGAGCAGCGUGUCAUUUGAAGAAACUGUUUUCAGCUUCUAUUGCUGGAACGUAAGAAUCACUUUUAUCCUUCCUAACCAAAGAAAAGGAGGUGGAGAUAUUAAGAAAGGUAUCUAAAUAUAUCCAUUAAUUGAUGAACGUGCUAGCUUUGUUGCUUGUAUGACAAUAGAUGACUUCUGUUGAUUGAAUAAAUACUGGAGUAAAUGGAGGGUUUAGCUAGAAAUUGUUUUUGUGGGAAGCUGUCGUUGUGGUUGUGGCAUUAAACAAGUUCUUUGAAAACAUAGAAAAGAUUAAUCAUUGGCAUCUAGAGAGGGGAAAAAAAUGUUAGUGAUGUUUAUUGAAGGCAUCGUUAAAUGCCAUGGCUUAUUAUAAGACAUGAAAGAAAACAAGCUUCAACAAACCACAGCAGAAGGAAGAAGUUUUUUUUCUAAUAUUACAAAUUUUUGGAAGAGCUGAGUUUCUGCUUUAUGAGAACAAAUAUGUCCCACUCCAUAUUUAACCUUUCAGGGGGAUGAAGGAAGUUACUGCAAGAGUUCGUUAAAUAGGCACCACUUUAACAGUAUAUAAUUCUUUGAUGAAAGAUAGGAGAAGGAAAGGAGGCAGAGAAUGUGCCCCCUUCAUGUAAUCUGCAUGAAGAACAGCAGAUCUUUUCUGCUGUGUGUGCUGUUUCAUGAAGUAAAGUAAGACAAAGUAAGACAGACUAAAGUAUCAUUCAGCUCUUUUGGAUAUUCAUGUAAUGUCAAAUUUGAGAAAUGUCACUUCUGAGCUCAGCUAUAAAAAGUACUGCGUGUAUUUCAGCUCUUCCAAGUACAGCGCGUGAAUGGGACCAUCAGCUACUCCAGAUUUACUCAGAAUAUUUGACCCAGUAUUUUAAAGAUAUGUAUCUAUUUGUUAAUCCUCCAAAAUCGUGUUUUAAUAUUUAUUUUAAUAAUUAUCCUCUAUUCAGUAAAGAAGUCAGUGGAUGUUAUGUAAGAGUCAUUUUAAUACAGAAACCAGAUGGAGGUAGGUAGAUGUUCUUGUUAGAUGCUGUUUACCAUUCAUUUAUAGUGGUUUAUACCUUUUUUUCUCCAAGAAUAAAGGAGAAGUGUAUGAAAGAUUCAAGACUAAGCUUUCUUGGCUUCCCUUUAUCCUUGCUAUCCUACUCGUAUUUUGCAGCUUUUGAGCAGAUAGAAGGAAAAAGUUCAAUUAAACUUCAGCUCUAGGUAACCCUGAUAAUUUCUAGAGUAAGAUCUCAUAUAAAAGCAUGUGUUUUAUACUUUAUUAUUGUCUUCUAGUGUUGUACCUAACCAAUAUUUAAAGGCUAUAUCCAUUUUACAAAUCUGUGUUCCAGACCUUUUUGUUUUUGUCUUUUACUACAUGAAAAGGAGCAGCCAAAUUUAUAAAAGGCCUAUAAUAAAUGACUAUUCCAUGCCCCUAAGAUCAUCAGGAUUACUAGUGCAUCCUGAACAUUCCUAAACAAUGAAAAACUGUACUGUCCUACCCAAAUUGUUUUAUUUCUGUUAGCUGGUAUAAAAACUUCUGGAGCUCCUGGACUCCUCUGUGUUUGUUGUCAAUAUAUCUGGGCCAUGUUGGGAGAGUGCAAGUUGAAUGGGCAUGCAGCCAAAGCAGCCCAAAAGAAACUCUAGGAUCUUGUGCAAUCACACCAUUAGUAUAUGGAUGGAUGCAUCAGUGUUCUUUGGCCUGCUCCUUAUGGUUUUAUCUAUAUAACAUAGCCAAUAACACUCCUUACCAAUACUUAGAAUCAAUACCUUGCAUUGAUUGGUAGCAAGGAGCAACUAAUUGAGGAGAAAAAGUAAGAGAAGUUUAAGUUACUUUAUAUUGCACUGACAUGAACAUGUAUCAGUGCAGACACGUGGAGAACUCUUUCUAGUUACAGAUUGUAAGCAGAUGGCUAGAUUUGCAAUAGCUAAUGCUCAUAACUUGCCAUUGAAAGAAAAUGUAAAAUGAAGCAGCAAUUCUUAUGCCUAUUUCACUUCAUUCAAUAAGACUGUAUAUUGAACUUACUGAACUUUGCAAUAAUGUUUCCCUAUCUAUCAAAAAAGAACAGAGGUAGUGAUGACAUAGUUUAUUGCUUACUUUUGUUUCCUGUAGAGCUAGCAUGUUCCGUUCCAUUUGCCAUACAGUUCCUGCAAAAUAGUAUUUGGUGUUUUGUUUUCAAAUCAUUACCUUUCAUUUUUUUUUUCCUAUGCUAAAAGUGAAGUUCAUUUAAAAAAAAAAAGUGUUUAAUCAGGGUUUGCACCAUUAUUUGGUAAAAGAUGAUGACAGAGGCAGCACUCUACUUCAAAGACAUAUCAGUCUUUUUAAUAACAUGCCAGUGGUAAUCUUUCUGUGAGUUUCCAAACCAGAAAAUGAAAAACACGUGAGGCUAUUCUACUAUGAAAGAAUGGUGUGUUAACUCUUUACCAUUCCGUUAACAAAUGAUGAGCUGCAUAAAUCUCUACAAAUGGAAAGAGGGAAGGCAAAGGUGAUGUAUCCUGGCUUCUAUUCUCAUAAUGAAGUAGACAGAAAUACCAGUUCCCCAGUGCAUCUUGAUGGUCUGUCAAAUUGGGCAAAAACAAAGGAGCAUUUGAUUAUUUCUGUGCUUCAAUUAGGGAGGUUUCUGUCACUCACGGCCUGCUGUCCUUCUGUGUCAGAGGAAACCCAGUGUAAUGAGACAUGCUGCUAAGAAGGUUCUGGAGGAGGCUAGAGCACUCUUACCUGCAAUACCUGAGGAAUGUGCUUUUGUAGAACACUCAAAACGUACUUAUGAUUCUUCGGGCACAUAAGGCUGGACAGUCCAUUCACAGAUGGCCUUGAAGUCUUCAGCUUCUCUUGGUAAAGUAAUCUAUCCAUUCACAAAUAUCAACAUUUGUUCAAGAUUCAUAGAAUGGCUUGUGUUGGAAGGGACCUCAAGGAUCAUCAAGCUCCAGUCCCCCUGCCGCAUGCAGGGCCACCAACCUCCAUAUCUAAUACUAGACAUAUAGACUUAUACAUACAGACUACACUAAGUAAUCUAUUAGAGCUUGAGAUAAUGGAAAGUCAUUUGGAAACUGGGAUCAAAUGAGAAAGUUGCACUUGGGCAAUGCAUAAUGUGUACAUGCUAAAGAUUGGUCAAGAUGAAUACUCUCAUCCAGAAGUCCUGUAGAUACAUCUUCACAAUGGGAAGUAUUCCACUGAAGCUACCUGUCCAUAUUAACAUGGCACAGAAUCCACAAAUGCUUCACUCCACUUCUCAGGCAAGCAGUGGAAGAAUUCUUGUAUCUUUCAUCUGUUGCUGCAAAGUGGUGCACAAGUCAAAAUCACAAUUGAAAAGUUAACAGUUGAUCAACCUUACUAUAAGCCUACUGAUACAAGAUCUGCAGAAAGGAAGGACUGGAUUAUUUGGGGGAAGAAAGCAAAAACAUUCAGAUCCUACAUCCAGAAGAAUUGCUGUUAAUGUUUACAGGUUUCAUGUAUGUUCUUUUGCCUGAGCUGUGCUUUGGGGUGCAUUGGCUCUUUUCUCUGGAGUAAAACAUGAAAAAUCUUCCUUUCUUUGGUGAUCUCCAGAGCUUUUUAAAGGUACGGUAGAACAAUAGUACUCUCACAGUAGUUUUAAUGGGACAGAAGUGUUGCUGUGUUGUCUUACAGAUUUUAUCAAAUUGUGCUUAGAAUUCAUUCAUUUUGAUCACUCAUAUUAUAGACAAAAUUCUUCUUGUAGGAUGUUUAUAUGUCCCAGAGCAUUCAUAAUGCACUGUGUUCAGCCAUCUACAAGCAUUUAAUUACAGACCGUCUGUUUCAUGUAAAAAAUAUUUGCCAAGACUCUUUUGGCAGAGUAAGGAGUGAACUUCGUAAAGGAAAACCAAGUUGCUCAUCGGUGGUGGCAGCAAAAAUGAGGAAAAGAACUACCCAAGAGUUUCUUGAAGAUUCCAGUUGAUGGAUCCUGGCCUGAUUGGGUCUCUUAUAUAAACCUUGAUGGAAUGGUGCUAAAUUUUGCAUGGAAACCUUUAUUUUUUUCCCCACUUCAACAACUGUAGCUGAAUGUACAUUUAAAAAUGGUAUUUGAAAAUUAAACUCAUAAGACAUCAUUAUACAAGACAUAAGCACAAACUUAGUACAGAAAGGGAGAAAGCAUCCAGUCUUUGAAAAUAAUGUUUGUGCCUUGUGCUUUUUUAAAACAUAAACAUAGAUUAUCAGCACACUACUAAAGUGAGGCUGCAUCUCACCUUCCACAGUCUCACAGCAUAAAAAUAGCAUAUUUGAACUUACCAGAAGAUUGAUGUUUCUUUGCUUUCGUAUUACUUUUUCCUUUGUAUUUUAUGAAAAUGUAUGCCUUGCUGUCCAAUGUUGAAAAUAUCCACUGAGGUGAUUUUAAAGUUAAACCUGAAGAUUCAAGUUGGAAGUUACUGAAGGAUGAGUUUGGGUUUUUUCAAAGUGCUAUUAUUUUGACUCCUUGAGGGCUCCACAUGAAUACUUUACCUCUCCUUUUCUUUCUUUGGUUUGAGAUUCAUAACUGCAGCUGCUGUGCAAAGUAAAGUUUCCAUUGAGGACUAGCUGACCAAAUUUGUCAUGCUGAAAGUGAAAGUUGUAUCAGAAAGAGUGGGGUUUCCUUCAGUGCAGCAAGUCUGAGUACUGGAGCAGGUUCUAUUUCAGUCAUCCCUCCACUUCAGCAUAUAUCAACAGAUGGAAUCAGUGCAUCUUUUCUGUUGUACUUCAGCCUCCUACUCACUGACCACAGCAGGGACUAUGUCACGUCAUUGAGCACCAAGAGACACUGGAGAGAGGGAGUCCAACUGCCCACAGAGGCCCUGAGGUGCCUGGAGGAGGGAAACACCCCAGGGUAUCUCAUCUUCCUCCUCCACCCUCCUCCCAAAGCCAAAUGCCCAGAAUGUGCUGAGCUGAACUGAAACCCUGCCCUGUGGCCUUGGGGAGCAGUCAGCUAUGUGGCUGUAGACACCAUAUGCUGAGGGAGCACCACCUUCCUGCUUUCACUGGCAGAAGUGAGUUUCCCUUAAAAACCAGCAAAUUAUGCAGUUUCACACCUGACUCUUCAGUUGAGCAGGUGGAAAUGUCCUUUUCUGGGCCUCAACAGUAAAGGAGCCAAAGGCCAGGGGUCAGCUAUUAAGUUCAGCUGUUCCCUAUUGCAGGUUCAACUCAUGCUCCCUGGCCUGGCUGUGCUCUGAGGCACCUUGAGGCACUUGUGCCUUUGCGGUAUGAGCUCAUUUGUUGUCAUUUCCACUUUGGGGUGGGAAAAAAGGUCAUAAGAAGAGAUCAGUAAAUGUGCAGCAUUCAUAAAGCAAGGCCGCUUCAAAACAGACACGUUGCAGUGUUAUCAUAUCCAGGAAAACAGCAACAGACAGCGUAACUUUAAAAUACCACCCAGAAACUCUUGCUUGGAAAGGACAACUCACAGCAUCAAAGCCUGGACGUACUUGCCAAACCAUGCUUUAACUUACUGCCAAGACACCAGAUUUAUCCCCUUAGUAGCAAUGAUGCGCUAGGCAAGAUGGUGAUUGCUACAGCAAAGUGGGGAUGGGUUUGUUUCACAGUGGUCACGAUGACAGAAGGAGCCCUGCAGAUAUUAAUACUUGAUGAGAAAGGUACAUGAAAUUAGCCUGUGAACUGUUUGUGGAUAAAUAUCUCUCAAGCAUACAAUAAGAAUUCAAGCAAAUUAAUUUAACAGCUAGAAGUCAAAUGUAAUGAAAAAAUAUUUAUGAAAAUUUUGUAUGUUUAGGUGAAUAGUUUCAAACCAAAAAUAAAUGAGAAAUAAAUACAGCCUAGUAGAAAUUGGACUGUGUUUAGAUUCUGAUAAUCUGAAAGGGCAUUUUUUAGCAUAAGGAUAAGUUCAGGUGAUUAUUUAAAGAAUAAGAUCAGAAUGGCUGUUCUUGACUUUAAUUUGGAGCCAAAAUAUUCUAUGUAAAGAACUUGUAAAAUCCAUGUCCCCUUUAGUUCUACAGUCAGUAAUUACUCACAGGAUAGAGUAUUCAGAUUUAUGAGGAAGAAGGAGAGAGUGGCAGUAAGUUGUUACUUCUAUUUCCAGCCAAUGUUUGCAAAUUCAAUGGCAAUAACAAACCAAAAACCUGACUUUCUCCCUUCAAACCGCUCUAUAUCUGUGGUCAAAAAUGUAUAGCUAUGUUUUACAUCUUUUUUAGCACAUAAACAUUUAAGGAUACUUACCUCAACCACACGACAAUUUUCUGAGCCUUGCAAGUCUUACAAAUCCCUAAUCACAGUUGGAUGUAUUCAGUAAUGUAGAAUUAAGGAGUAACAGCUGAAAUGCACCUGGGUUAGGUGGCUACUGAGGUUAUAUGGUGUCGAAAUAAUAAGGUGUGGGUCUGGUUAGAGAGGGACCAGGCAUCUGUUCCCACCUCAGCUACAACUUCCCAUACUAGUACUCAUAUUGAGUACUGAGUAUUAUAGUACUGAGGAUUAUAGCACUAGUGAUUGUGCUAUAACAGUGAUUGUGAUUACUGAGGUAAUCUAAACAGAGAACUUUGCUUCUCUGGAAGUGGAG
ensembl:lncRNA